UACUCAUGGAGCUGAAGUCAGUCGAAGAUACCAGCUGGCUGCAACUGUUUAUUAAAAACACAGCACUGUGCAAACACGAAAGUGGACGUAUACGGUGUGACGCCUGCCCGGUGCCGGAAGGUUAAUUUGCGCGCUCCAGCAUCGCAGCAACGUUACCCAGAUCCCACGGACGCGAAAUCAGCGCCGCUUUCGCUUCUGCCGGCGUUGGCGCGCGGCGAAUCAGUUCGAUAAUCGGGUCGAUGUUAGCUAGCGCAA
rnacentral:rRNA from 1 species